rnacentral:rRNA from 1 species
UGGGGAAUCUUGCGCAAUGGGCGAAAGCCUGACGCAGCAACGCCGCGUGUGUGAUGAAGGUCUUCGGAUCGUAAAGCACUGUCGCGAGGGACGAAUAAGGGCCGGGUUAACAGCCCGGCACGAUGACGGUACCUGUAGAGGAAGCACCGGCUAACUCUGU